UACAGAGGUCUCAAGCGUUGUUCGGAUUCAUUGGGCGUAAAGGGUGUGUAGGUGGCGCCGUAAGUCGGGUGUGAAAUUUCGGAGCUUAACUCCGAAACUGCAUUCGAUACUGCGGUGCUUGAGGACUGGAGAGGAGACUGGAAUUCAUGGUGUAGCAGUGAAAUGCGUAGAUAUCGUGAGGAAGACCAGUGGCGAAGGCGGGCCUCUGGACAGUUCCUGACGCUGAGGCGCGAAGGCCAGGGGGAGCAAACGGG
rnacentral:rRNA from 1 species